rnacentral:sRNA from 1 species
AAAGAAAGGGACAAUGUAUGAAUC